GAUGAACGCUGGCGGCGUGCCUAAUACAUGCAAGUCGAGCGAACAGACGAGGAGCUUGCUCCUCUGACGUUAGCGGCGGACGGGUGAGUAACACGUGGAUAACCUACCUAUAAGACUGGGAUAACUUCGGGAAACCGGAGCUAAUACCGGAUAAUAUAUUGAACCGCAUGGUUCAAUAGUGAAAGACGGUUUUGCUGUCACUUAUAGAUGGAUCCGCGCCGCAUUAGCUAGUUGGUAAGGUAACGGCUUACCAAGGCAACGAUGCGUAGCCGACCUGAGAGGGUGAUCGGCCACACUGGAACUGAGACACGGUCCAGACUCCUACGGGAGGCAGCAGUAGGGAAUCUUCCGCAAUGGGCGAAAGCCUGACGGAGCAACGCCGCGUGAGUGAUGAAGGUCUUCGGAUCGUAAAACUCUGUUAUUAGGGAAGAACAAAUGUGUAAGUAACUAUGCACGUCUUGGCGGUACCUAAGCAGAAAGCCACGGCUAACUACGU
rnacentral:rRNA from 1 species